CCUACGGGAGGCAGCAGUGGGGAAUAUUGCGCAAUGGGGGAAACCCUGACGCAGCAACGCCGCGUGAGUGAAGAAGGCCUUCGGGUUGUAAAGCUCUUUAAUCAGGGACGAAGAAUGACGGUACCUGAAGAAUAAGCUCCGGCUAACUACGUGCCAGCAGCCGCGGUAAUACGUAGGGAGCAAGCGUUAUCCGGAUUUACUGGGUGUAAAGGGCGUGUAGGCGGGCCUGCAAGUCAGAAGUGAAAUCUGGGGGCUUAACCCCCAAACUGCUUUUGAAACUGUGGGUCUUGAGUGAUGGAGAGGCA
rnacentral:rRNA from 1 species